GCAAAAGCUGCGCCCUCUGAACCUGGCUGCAGCCAAAUAAAACUGUUUCCUGCUGUCCUUGGUGCCCUGCCUGUCUGUCCCUACCACCCCUUCCCCACCUGUGCCCGGCUGUGAUGAUGACCAGGUGAGCUUGCUUCUGUGCACAAGACUCAGGGGCCUGGGACCAGGUGAGGUCGCUGAGGAGAAGCUGAAGCAGGAGGCAGGAAAGGCCUUCCCUCCUGCAGGCAGGACAGGCAGGGGCCUGCGGGAUGGAGCCACCAGCAGAGUGGGAUUGUCACCCACCGCCUGGUCACAUUCCCAACGGCCCGAACUUGACUCCACCGACAACAGGGACUCUCUCUGCCUCCGGUUAGUGCUCCCUGUGACUGGACCACAUCAGAGCCACAGAGGGAACUGCCACCACCCUCAACUGGCGACUUCUGUUGAGAGCGGGGACGACGCUAAGUGCUCCUGAGUGUCCCCAACACGGGACGGCUGUGCGCGCCCUGGGGAGGAACCGCGUGUGUCCCUGCGUGGGGGACUGUGCUGCUGGCCACGAGGCAGAGGUCGCGAGCUGACGAUCUGCACUGGGCAGAGAAGCAGCCAAAACAAGUUUGUUAUCUGUGGGACCAAAUGCGACCAGAGCUGCCCCAGCUGACCCGCAGGAACCCGGGAGCCAGGGAGAAAGAGACCCCUGGAGGACAGUGUUGGUAAUGCACAGUGAGAGUUCCGGCAGAGGAGGUGGCCAGGUAGUGUUCACACCAGCGCCCAGUCCUCCUCCCACACUUCUGCUUCCUCUGAGGGUAGGUGAGAUGCAGCCACCAGAAGCUUUUGGUAGAGA